CGGGUGAGUAACACGUGGAUAACUUACCUAUAAGACUGGGAUAACUUCGGGAAACCGGAGCUAAUACCGGAUAAUAUAUUGAACCGCAUGGUUCAAUAGUGAAAGACGGUUUUGCUGUCACUUAUAGAUGGAUCCGCGCCGCAUUAGCUAGUUGGUAAGGUAACGGCUUACCAAGCAACGAUGCGUAGCCGACCUGAGAGGGUGAUCGGCCACACUGGAACUGAGACACGGUCCAGACUCCUACGGGAGGCAGCAGCU
rnacentral:rRNA from 1 species